AGGGGUGAAGAAACAACUUUCAAUCAAUUUGAUUGCAAAGGGUUCCGGAUGAGGAUGACAAUGUGACAAGGAUUAAAACGGCUUGGACAAUAACGAUUCAAGAACCAAGUGGCGUAUCACGUACGAACAAACCAGAAAAUAAAGCAAUGACUGCCAAUUGCUUUGCCAAAUGAUUUGGUAGUCCUUGACAAAUAUACGGCCUUGCCCAAAUAAGAGAGUUGCAUAACGAGUUGAUGCAACCUUCAGCACAUUUUUAGCUUCUGAAGCCUAAAUUCUUUUCGCAGGCAUACAUGAAGCAUCCAUCAGCCGAGUUUAGCGCUCCGGGUUUGGUCUUUGCACAGAAAAAUGAGGCAUUAAAUGGCACUUUUCUACAAAGCUUUUUUUCUUGGCUUUCUUUUCGUAAGUUGUGUUACAGAUAGAAUGUCUAUCAGUUCUUCAGUCUAUCAGUUCUUUAGGGCCUUAACCCUUUGGUUCAAGGAUAUGGGUUUGACAAAAUGAACAUCCUCUAUAUGGAAGCUCAUCAGUACACUAAAACAUAAUUAUGACAAGAUGUAUAUCCAGUAGCUUUGUAAAUGUUGAACAGUUCCUCCAUGAAUAAAAAAAAUUAUAUAAUUGAAAAUAAAAAAUGCAAUGAAUAAACCCUUUUCCGCAAAAAUAUGGAGGACAUUGUUCAAAGCCUCCAUAGUUGUCUAUACAUUAUGGUCAGUGGAAGAUAGUAACUUGGCUUCCUCAGUUGAGAUCUCAUUCGUUGAGAGUUGAAUAUUUGACUUGGAACUCAUU
rnacentral:misc_RNA from 1 species